AUCGCUUCUCGGCCUUUCAGCUAAGAUCCGGUGUCGUGUCUGUUCUUAUCAAUUAAAUCUGAUACGUCCCCCAUCUGGGGACCGUAUAUUAAAUAGAUUUUUGAGAACAGGGGCCGAAGCUUGCUUCAAUCACCCUGUGCAUUGACUCGAUAUGGCAGUAUCUUCGGGUACAGUGCAUCUCCC